UUUUUUUUUUUUUUUUUUUUUUUUUNUUUUUUUUAGGCCCGCACCUGCAGCAUAUGAAAGUUCCCAGGCUAGGGGUUGCAUCUGGAGCUGCAGCUGCCGGCCUACACCACAGCCACAGCAACGCCGGAUCCUUAACCCACUGGGCAAGGCCAGAGAUCAAACCUGCACCCUCAUGGACACUAGCCGGGUUUGUUACCUUGAGCCACGACAGGAACUCCUAAGAUUGGUUUUCAGUAGUGUGCGGAAACAUCUUACUACAUUAUAGUUUUUAUUCCAAAACAGAGUCCCCAUUCUGUUUAAAACUUUGCAUGUUAGCCAUGUUUAAUUUAAAAGUACAUUUAAUGAAUCGUAUUUCACCUAAACCACAUGUCCAAGGCACUGCCUGUUAUAACAUAGUUACUUCGCACAUUUCAGUUUGUUACAAUAUCUAUGCUUUUAACAUUUUUAUGGAGUGAUGUGCUUUUCUAAAGUGAGCAGUAUGUAAAUACUACCUUUCAUCUUAGUGUGGUUUCUGGUUUUGCUGGAAGGCAUACUUUGGAAAGAAGUAAAUUUUGUUAUUUAUUUUAAGUCUUGGCAUAAAAGCAGUUGACUGUAACGCCUGAUCGAGAUCUGUGCGUUUGUAUCAGCUAAGUUCUUACUGUUUUAUGUUCUGUUUUUUAGACACAACAGUACGGAUGGAAUUCUUUUCUAAAAUUUGCAGUAGUUUGUUUUUGGCAAUUCUUUGAAAUCAUGAUAAGGACAUUGUAAAAUAAUCGAGACUAUUUGCAUCACAUUUUCCAUGAGUAUUAGUUGGCAGAGACUGGAAAUUCUUUUUAAUUUAUGCCAUUAAAUGUGCUGUGGGAGUUUUAACAUCUGUUACAAUUUUCAAGUGAUGUCUAUUGCACUUAAAUAUACCUUUCCCAUCAUCUAUAUUUUUAUUCAUAGGAUCCUUAGAUAAUUUUUAGCAUUGUAUUUUGCUUCAAAGCUGAAUUAAGAUUGCGAGAAACUAUAUCCUUUGAUGUUAAUAUCAAGCUAUCUGUGGCCAAGGCUGUGAAAUUCUGUAAGAUUCAUUCAAGAACGUUUGAAAGCAUUGCACAAAGAGAUGCCCUAAGCUCCUGAACACUCUAGAGUCCGGCUCACUGGCUCCACGAACAGAGCUCUCCGCAGCUUUCUCCCUGCAUCCAGAAAGUCCUUGUUCCAGUUCUUACCGAGUUUACCUGGGAGCAGUCAGCUUCUGAGUGACUGAGAGUCAAGCCCAGCGUCUGUCACCUCCUAGUUCAGUUUGUAGUGUUUUUGUGUAGUUAAACUUUUCACUUGCUUCGUCAGUAUUUUUUCUUGUGAAUUAGUAUACCACAGAAAAUAUUUGAAUGUCGUUGGUUUAAAAGUGGUAGAUAUGAAAAUAAAGACUAGUAUUAGCUUUUCUAAGUAAGCGUGAAUUUGUCAUAAGUCUUGCCAUAAAAAGGUAAUAUACACUUUUAUUAUUAUACCGUCACAGUGUUAUGUUUCUUUUUGUGUAAUGAUUUGAAAUCCUUAAAGUCUCCAGAAUUUAGGUGAUAUAUGCUAUUACUAGUAUGCACAAAAUAAAGGAAUAGUCACUUUCCUAAUUGUUUUAUUUUAGCAAUAUGUUUUGUUAAUUUCUCUGUUUUUGUUUUGAAAAUAAAUGUAUUUAUUUUCUUUGUGGUGACAAAUCCAUUUGUUAAAGAACUUUUGGUCAUUGUAUUUCAUAAAGCUCAAUUUGUUAUUUCUUGAAUUUGGGGUUUUUCUAUUUACAGUCUACUUCAUUUAAUUGAAAUAGAGAUUAUCAACAACAGAAACUUUGGAUCUUGUUUCUCUACAACUAAUUGAAAUGAUACCUUUGGAGUUCCUUUUGUGACUCAGUGGAUUAAAAAUCCACCUGAUAUCCAUGAGGAUGCGAGUUUGAUCCCUGGCCUUGCUCAGUGGGUUUAGGAUCUGGCGGGGCUGUGACUGUGGCCGUGGCUGACAGCUGCACCUUCUCUGCUUUGCCCCCCAGCCUGGGAACUUCCACAUGGCACAGAUUCAGCCCGAAAAAGAGAAUAAAUUAUACCUUCACAUUUUAUUCAGAAACAUAAUUGUUGUAUAUUUAUGUAACUUGGUCUAUAAAAUCCCUGCUAAAUGUCCUUGUGGAUGGUUAAUACUUAUGAAUAAUUUGGGGUUGAGUAUAUAAUUACAGCUGAGAGUCUGAAGGAGAGAAAGAUAAUGUGUGAUUGAAAGGAAAGGUUUUGUGAAAGAGUGUGAUUAGUAGCAUGUGAAACCUUUACACUUUCUGAUAUUUAGCAUGAAACGGCACUAGUCAGAGUUUAAAGGAACGUGUUACUUGGAAAAAUAGAGGAAAUUUCCUGGGAAGUCGUAUGAUACUUAGAUUUCUUGGUUAUAGUAUUUAAUAGUGUAUUAAAAUAUAUUCCUGAAAUUUGAGAGAGUGUAGCAGAUUUUAAAGUCAGCCUUCUUAUUUUCAAGAAUAAGAUAGUAAAGACCACAUACCCGACUCCUGGAUCCCGCAGUCGUUGAUGAUCCUGUUUCGAGCUCAUCGUUAAUUAAGUAUUCUUCCCAGACAGACUCAUGGAAGCUGGGGAGGGGGACUGCUUCCAAGUACACAGCCAGGCCCGCCCUCAGGUUGUACAGCUCAGCUUGGGUUUAUUUCAGAGUAAAUAAACCAUUAUGAAAUAAAUUGAAAGUCGUUUCAUACUAAGAGCGUGAUUUCCUUUCCAGCACCCUUCAUUACUCAGCCUUUAAAAUUGGGAAACGAUUGUGGUGGGAGAACACACUCUUCUCCAGAGUCGUGUAAAGUGAAGUGUGCACGCAGGCUCCCGCUGGAGUGUGGUUAGUAACUUAGGACGUAGUACCUGACUUUACAUUUUAAAAAUAGUUUCCCUUCUUGCAACUCUUGUUUUAUGCAUUAUAUGUUGUAUUUGGUCAUUUUUUAAAUCUGUAGCACUACCUUCCAAGGGUAGGAAAAAUAUUUUCUUUUGUUUCCUUCAUUACUGAAUUAUAUUAAUGAUUAAAGUUUGAAUUUAGGCGAUGAAAUAGUUAAAGGUCCAGAGUGUUCUACUAACUUGGUAAUAUUAUUGACCUUUUGUCUUUUUCUAUAAAACCAUGUUUAGAUUAUAAGUAUCUUUAAGCGUUCCUUUUGGCUGGUUGCAUUUUUAUUUACCUAGUGGAAUUUGCAGUGUGUACUUGUAUGUUCCGUAAGAGGCGCUUUUAUGUUUCAGAUGCGAGGAAGUACAUGUAGGCCAAGUUCGUAACCCAUUGUUGCCUUGGCCAUGUCCAUGGCGUUCCGCAUUUCCUGGGCAGGAAGCAAACCUGAGCCACAGCGCGUGAAGUCCUUAACUGCCCAGCCACCAGCAAACUUCUCUUAACGCACAUUUUAAGUAUAUUGUGUGAUGGCUCAAAUCACGGUUCGCGUUACCAACCCCUCUCCCUGCAACAGAUACAGUAUUUUGUUGACUAUGUUUAUUUAAAAAUCUUAAGUUAGAAUUGUCAUUCUGGUUUAAAUAAAUGAGUCUCAAACGAGAUGAUAUUCUGCUUGUAAAUAAAAUUUCAGUUCUUCGUCCUAGAACAUAAUCAUGCAGAUUUCAUGCGAGGCACUUUGGUCUCAAAACUAAGACCCAAAUUAUUAGGAUUAAUAAUAAUUAUUAUUAGGAAGUGUAUUUUGUUUGAAUACAUGAUUUUUUCUUUUUAAUGUUCCUUAUUUUUUAAAAAAUAUAAUCAGUAAGUAGUAAAGUUGCUUGUUAGCGCAAGGGCCCUGAAUUGAUUGCAUCGGUAGGAACCUAAGUGUACCUGAUGAAUCCAUACCUCUCCCAUACAAGUGUGUAAGUGGUGUUGAGUUUUUGAAAUUGAUGUUAAUUCUUAAAAUUUGUUUCUAUCUCUGAAAUUAUCAUUGUAGAAUCAAAUUUAUUUUUAUUAUGUGUUAUAUACAUCUCAGUGUGAGGGAGAAAAUUUACAUAUAUGAGGUAAUGCAAAUUCCUCAAAUGAGUAGCCACGGAAAUCUGCGUUCUGUGUCAUGUUUAUGACCAGCUUUCUAAGACCUUCUUCCUGAAGUUCUUUUUCCUUUUAUGCGACGUGUCAACCAUGUGAAUGAGAUCCUGCAUAUGUUUAUCUUUGCCAUGUUUGGUUCAAGUUCUGUACCUUUUAAUUUUUAUAUGUUGUAAGUGAUAUUUUUUCUGAAAAUUACUCAUAUUAUUCAAUACAUGAAAAAGAUCAUCCUAUUUUAUUGUAUGUUUUUCUGGAAUAAUUUUAACUUGUUUCUCCUCAGCAUAUUUUUAGAUUAUUAGGUAAUGUAAAUUCAUAUCAAAUUUGAUGCAUUGCUUAGAUUUGCAAAUGUUACCUGGUGUUUUAUAAUAGUUUCUGACCUUUUUUUGUUGGAGGGAUAGUAACUUGCCCAGUGGUUCCUUGGUCUAUAAUGGGAAUUCUUUGAGGUGAUGAGAGUAUUUACAUGUUCACGGACAUAGUUAGAAUAUUUUAAAUAGAACACCUAUGGAGCCCAUGUAUUAACAAACUGAGUGCUGUAGUUGGUGUAAUUGUCGACACAAUGGGGCUUUCUCAGUGGUGUAGAAUUUACGGGAGCCGUAUCAUUCAGAAUUUCACUCUAUCUAUUUAUUUGUUGCCCUUUUGUAUCCUGCGUUCUUCCCCAGGGCGGGGAUGUCACCUUGGGGAAAAAACCCUGGCUCAGCAUGAAAGGACAGCAUCCACGGACGUCCCUCCAGAUGGAUGGCUCUCACACUUUGGAGUGCCUUUGACUCACCUGACAGGGCUCCUGAGAACACGGAUUUCUCGGCUGUGCCCCAGAGCUUCUUGAUGCAGCAGGUCUCAGGAGGGGCCAAACCGUUGCCCUUUCUGACAGGUUCCCAGGCGGUGCUGCUCUUGGGCCUGGUGCCCCGUUUGAGAAGUCUGCUCUAAAGCGUUGCUCAGGAGGCACGGAGCCGUUUGGGUCGGUGGAUUUCAGCUGGUCCCGGUCCCGGUCCCGGUCCCAUCCCUCUUCUGCAGGACCCCCGGCCAGUCACGGAGCAGAGCAGCCCAAGCCGAGGGCUUCCUGCUGCUGCAGAAAGUCUGUGGUGUCACGGCUCGUCCGUGCUGUGUUUUGCACCCGAGCUUCGAUUUUCACACGUACUUUUAGAAAGUGAUGCCCACCUGAGUUCAGUAAAGGGGAAUUGUUAACAAGUCUUGAGGUAGUUCGAACCUGCCUCGUGAGACCUCCCGGAGAUGUGCGUUGCGUGUGUGUGCUUGAAAGUCUCUUCAGAGUCCUGUACGGUACAUUGACACAAGCAAAUCGGUCCGUCACGAAAGCACAGAGUUGCUGUGUUGACAGUCAUUUUCUUCCCCAGUGUUUUGACUCUUAGCGCAAAGAAACCGUCCCCUAGCUUGCAACCUUGAGCUCUCGCAGGAGGCGGUGACGAGGGCGCGAGGGAGCCUUGUCUGAAGACGUGUCCGCCCUGCGACCCCGCGGCGCAGGGCACCUCCUCCUGCUUCCCACAGACGCAGCCUGCCCAGGAGGCCCCCCUGACCGAGCCUUGCUCGGUGUCGCUGAACUCAAAGUGGCGGGGGCUCCGGUCCGCUCGUCCUCUCCACUCACAGCCCCUCCCUCGUUCUGGUUAAGGAUUCGGGUCCUUUUGCUCCUGGGGAGUCCAGGACUUGAGACUCGGCCGCCAGUUCCUCACCUUUUCCGUAGGCCUUCUCAUGCAGACUGGGAGAGUAAGGCUUUGUUUCAUCCGUCCUGUAAAACGAAAUUUUGUGGCUAGAUUUCUGGAUGCACUCGUUUUUGCUGUUCAGUUAUUUAUUACUAAUUUUCUUCAAGAAAGGAUUUGAACUCCUGUGGCAGUACUUGGAUGCUGCAGUGAGUGAUAGCUGACAGAAGUCAGCACUUAAAUUAGCUAUUUUUUGGCACACGAAUGCAGAAAAAUAAAUUUUGAAAAAAG
rnacentral:lncRNA from 1 species